UACGAACUGUGCGAACGUUAUUCGGAAUCACUGGGCUUACAGGGUGCGUAGGCGGCUAUUCAGGUCAGGUGUGAAAGCCCCCGGCUCAACUGGGGAGGGUCACGCGAUACUGAUCGACUCGAAGGCAGGAGAGGGAAGUGGAAUUCCCGGUGUAGUGGUGAAAUGCGUAGAUAUCGGGAGGAACACCAGUGGCGAAGGCGACUUCCUGGCCUGUUCUUGACGCUGAGGCGCGAAAGCUAGGGGAGCAAACGGG
rnacentral:rRNA from 1 species